AUUGAACGCUGGCGGCAGGCUUAACACAUGCAAGUCGAGCGGGGAAGGGUAGCUUGCUACCUAACCUAGCGGCGGACGGGUGAGUAAUGCUUAGGAAUCUGCCAUUUAGUGGGGGACAACAUUCCGAAAGGAAUGCUAAUACCGCAUACGUCCUACGGGAGAAAGCAGGGGAUCUUCGGACCUUGCGCUAAAUGAUGAGCCUAAGUCGGAUUAGCUAGUUGGUGGGGUAAAGGCCUACCAAGGCGACGAUCUGUAGCGGGUCUGAGAGGAUGAUCCGCCACACUGGGACUGAGACACGGCCCAGACUCCUACGGGAGGCAGCAGUGGGGAAUAUUGGACAAUGGGCGGAAGCCUGAUCCAGCCAUGCCGCGUGUGUGAAGAAGGCCUUAUGGUUGUAAAGCACUUUAGGCGAGGAGGAGGCUACUUAGAUUAAUACUCUAGGAUAGUGGACGUUACUCGCAGAAUAAGCACCGGCUAACUCUGUGCCAGCAGCCGCAGUAA
rnacentral:rRNA from 1 species